GGAAAGGGGAGAUUAUAGGGAAUUGUUGUUUUCUUCUUAUGAAGAGAACUGGAAAGACAGAGUAGUGUGUCUCUUGGAGGUGGGCGUGCGGCGUAUUAGAUAGGGGGUGGGGUAGGGUCUCAAAGGGGAGAAUAUGCGGAGCAGAUGUGAGGGGGAGAUGACACACAGUGGGUGAGACACGCGCCAGACACUUAUGGGGGGGGGAAGUGGGGAAUAUUUUCCGAUGUGGGAGAGAGUGUGAGAGAACAAUGGCGCGAGAGAGGAGAGGUUUUGGGGAGCAAAAAUCUGUGGUGAGGGGAAAAAACGUUUUUGAGAAUAACUGUGGUCAGUGGGAGGGAACUAGAAAAAAAAGCGGGGGAUAAUUAGGGGCCACGAGCGGAGAAAUUAGGUGGGGGGAAAGGUUAGCCAGAAAAAUUGGGGCGAAGGGGGGGGGAGGGGUUUUUUUUAUGUUUGGUGUUAACUCCGCGGCUCAUCCCGGGGAGGACUUUGAAAACUGGUAGAUUCGAGGGAAGAAGAGGAGAGUGAAUUUCCAUGUGUAGCGGUAAAAUGCGUAGAAAUGUGGAGAGAAACCAGUGGCGAGGGCGUCUCUCUGGGUUGUAAGUGACAGUGAGGCGAGAAAGCGUGGGGAGCAAACAGGAUUAGAUACCCUGGUAGUCCACGCCGUAAACGAUGAGUGCUAAGUGUUAGAGGUUUUGAUUCCCUUGGUGCUGAAGUUAACACAUUAAGCACUCCGCCUGGGGAGUACGGUCGCAAGACUGAAACUCAAAGGAAUUGACGGGGGCCCGCACAAGCAGUGGAGUAUGUGGUUUAAUUCGAAGCAACGCGAAGAACCUUACCAGGUCUUGACAUCCUUUUAACCCUUUCAAAAUUGUGCUUUUCCUUCGGGACCAGAGAGACAGGUGGUGCAUGGUUGUCGUCAGCUCGUGUCGUGAGAUGUUGGGUUAAGUCCCGCAACGAGCGCAACCCUUGAUCUUAGUUGCCAUCAUUUAGGAUGGCCCUUUUAAGUUGCCCCCCGGUACCAACCCGGAGAAAGUUGGGGUGAAGUUCAACUCUCAUUCCCCCUCAUCUCUUGGGUACCCCCCGUACUCCAAUGACCGUUCCAACAGCCUCAAGACCCCCAUGGAGAAACGAUUCCUAAAAACCGGUUUUCAUUUCGAAUUUCAGGCUCCAAUUCCCUUCCAUGAAGUCGAAAUUCUUAUAAAUUCCCGACCAUCUUCCAGGGGGAAUUCAUUUCCCGGGUCUUGUCCACCCCCCCUUCUAAACGACGGGAGUUGAUACCACCCCAAAGUC
rnacentral:rRNA from 1 species